AUGGACGGCCGCAGGGACCAGGUGAUCUCUUGGUUGACGGAGGAGAGUGAGGAGCUGAAGGUGGUGGCUAUUGUUGGAGGCGGGGGGCUGGGAAAGACCACCCUCGCCAUGGAGACCUAUCGCAAGAUUGGAGGAGACUUCCGGUCCCAAGCUCAUGUGAUGGUGUCACGCACCCUAGAUCUCAAGAAGCUCUUAAAAGAUGUCCUGUCUCAAAUCGACCAAGAUUCAUUCAGUGAAUGCAAAAGGUGGGAGGAAGACCAACUAAUCCGUCGGAUCCAACACAUAUUGGCAAACAAGAGACGCAAGUAA
rnacentral:rRNA from 1 species